UACGUAGGGUGCAAGCGUUUAAUCGGAAUUACUGGGCGUAAAGCGUGCGCAGGCGGUUGUGCAAGACAGAUGUGAAAUCCCGGGCUUAACCUGGGAAUUGCAUUUGUGACUGCACGGCUAGAGUGUGUCAGAGGGGGGUAGAAUUCCAACGUGUAGCAGUGAAAUGCGUAGAUAUGUGGAGGAAUACCGAUGGCGAAGGCAGCCCCCUGGGACUAACACUGAC
rnacentral:rRNA from 1 species